UAUUUCUGAAACAGAAAUAGAAAUUGUUUCUCCUUUUCUCCAAUCUGGGCAUCCUUCUUCAUUCAUCAUACGGGGUUUUUCUAUUUGAGCGUUCCUUCUCCUCAACCUUCAACCAAAAACCCUAGCGCCGUCGACUCCAACUCCGUCCGUCCUCGCCGUCGACUCCAACUCCGCCCUCUCGCCGGUGACAUCGUCGCUCACCUCGCCGUCGACUCUGACUUCGUCCUCCCUGCAGUCGACGACUCCGCCGGAUCCGAUCGCGUCGAACCCAUCUCGGGUUCGUCUCCGAGAUCAGAACCCGCGGCCCUUCCUGUGAAUCUCCGAACCCGCGUCGUUCUCUGACGCCGGUUAGCAAUUCGCCGUCGGCUGCGCCUCUCCUGCCGAAUAGCAGCAGAACUUCGUCGAGGAGGAUCGGGUCGGCCGCUUUCGUUUGAUCCGGCGGCAUCGACUUCGUCAAGGUCGAACCUCCGCCGCCGACUCGUAGACCGGGGGCCGUUCGAUCGAGUCCUCCGCAAGUUCCGCGAGGAGGACUAUCGAGCCGUUGUCUGGGUCCGAGCUCAAUUCGAAGAUUCCUGACGAGGGGAUCGUGGACUCGCCGGAGGUUAAUCGACAGGUGCCACAAUCGGAUCUCGGUGCUCUAGUCCUCUAUAUGACGAAAUCAUCUCACUGUGUCUUGACCUUGGAGAAUUGGAUGCUGCAGUAGCCAUUGUUGCAAACAUGGAGACUGCUGGAAUCACGAUGCCUGAUCAGACCCUGGACAGGGUCAUUUCUGCACGGCAAGGCAUUGAUAGUGUCACCGAUGAUGUGCCCGAAUAGAUCCUUGCAUUCAAGGGUUAUCAGAGUUUGUAUCAGGGUAUCAACGAGUACUCCAGAUACCUGAAUGUGGGGCUUGAGAUUAUCAACAAAGCUGAUUGCAAGGACGAAGCCGAUUUUUGUCAUGAUGAAGAUGAUUAUGAGUGAGAUCCUAUGUUUACAUUCGAGGACUUUGCCAGAAAGAAAGUGAACUUGACAUACCGAUGAGACGCAUCAGAGAUGAAAUCUGAAUUGUACAUACCUUAGUCUUAUAGUUGAAUGGGGCCGUUUUGGUAGUAGAUUUAUACGUUUAUUAUUUAUUGGAUCGAGAGUCGCUUCUUGUACGCCCCGGAAAACGAGCGAGAUUCUCGCAUUUUCUACGUACAUCUUAAAUAUGUCAUCGAGGGGAGCUUUUCCAAUAGUAGACGAAAAUGCAAGAGGCCUCUCAUGCUUGUUUGUCAUUGUAGAGAUGGUUUUUCAGAA